AAUAGAUACCCNAGGUAGUCCUAGCCGUAAACGAUGAACACUAGGCGUAGUCGGUAUCGACCCCGGCUGUGCCGUAGCUAACGCAUUAAGUGUUCCGCCUGGGGAGUACGGCCGCAAGGCUAAAACUCAAAGGAAUUGACGGGGGGCCCGCACAAGCAGCGGAGCGUGUGGUUUAAUUCGUCGCAACGCGAAGAACCUUACCAGGGCUUGACAUGUGGCGGAAAACGGCGGAAACGUCGUCCUCCCGCAAGGGACCGUCAUGCAGGUGUUGCAUGGCUGUCGUCAGCUCGUGUCGUGAGAUGUUGGGUUAAAGUCCCGCAACGAGCGCAAACCCCCGUGGCAUGUUGUAUCUCUCAUGCCAGACUGCCGAGAGAAACUCGGAGGAAGGUGGGGAUGACGCCAAGUCAGCAUGGCCCUUAGUCCUGGGCUACACACACGCUACAAUGGCCGGUACAACGGGUUGCCAAACCGCGA
rnacentral:rRNA from 1 species